AUGUGUGCAGGUGAUUUCAACGAAAUCUUAUAUAGUCAUGAAAAGAAAGGAGGAGCGGCUCGGAUGCAAAACCAGAUGGAGAACUUCAGAAUGGCAUUGUAUGAAUGUGGCUUACGUGACCUGGGGUAUAGAGGAGACAAAUUUACUUGGCGUAACCACAAUCACAAUGAAAGACUAGAUCGUGGUGUGGCAUCAAGAAACUGGUGCUCACGUUUUCCCUCAUUCAAAGUCAUGAAUGGUGACCCAAACCACUCAGAUCAUAGGCCAGUAACUGUACUAAUACAAGGAUCAAAUAAUUCUAGAAAUUACAGAAGCGGGACUCACAGGUUUAGAUUUGAAGCUAAGUGGCUACAAGAAGAGGAUUGUGAAAAGGUGGUCAAUAACGCUUGGGAUACAGCCAGGUUUCGAGGAGAAUGCAGUGUAUCCCAACUACUAAAGUCCAUAGCCAAUGAUCUUCAGGACUGGGACUCAAACACUUUAGGAGACUUGUCAAAUAGAACUAAAGCCCUGAAAAAAGAACUGGAAGAUGUAAGACGAGGAGAUAUCAGUCAAAAACAAGUAUCCAGGGAGCACUUCUUGAGAGAUAAACUGGACCGCCUAGAAAAUCAGCUUGAUACCUUUUGGAAGCAAAGAGCUCAUGUCAAGUGGCUUCAGGCAGGGGACAAAAAUACUGCUUUUUUCAUGCCUAUGCCUUAG
rnacentral:rRNA from 1 species